UCAAUUUUUAUUACUAUGUAUUUAAAAUUCAAAAGAUCUUAGAAUAUGGUUGAUUGUACUCUGUCUUUGAUGACAUAACCUGUCAAUUUGAAAUACAUGUCCGUUAGGCCUUUUUUGUUCGCACACACACCCAGACUUUUACCUUAUUCUGGGCUCUUUGUUUCUAUAAAUCUUAUAAAAUUUUGGAUGACAGAAAACCAUAAAUUGGAGGCCUGUAUGAAAGUGUUAUGCUUGCGAGCCUUUGAGCCAGACAAGACAGUUCAAGCAUUGAGCUUGUUUUCGAAACAAGCUAUAUUAGGCCCAAGCUUCAGCUUCAUUAACUUCAUAACCAGGCCCAAUCCAAGCAUAACAGUUCCUGAGAUAGAGAUGGGACCUCUCUGAUAAGAUUCUUACACCCAGAUCUUGGAAACAUUUACAAGGUUCGUCAUUAGCCUUAAUUUUCUGUUGGUGUUGAAGUGCAAGUUAUUAGAAAUACUUGAUUGUAGUAACUUGUGAAUUGCCGCUGCCUCUCCUGCUCUGAAUCUGCACCUUGUGUUGAAGUUUGGAAAUCUGUGUAUUUAAUACAUGAAAGUCCUGUCUGAAAUUGCACUUCAAAUUAUCAAAAAAGAAAAAGAAAAAAAGAAAAGAGCAGGCACUUCGGAUUGUAGGAUUGCCAAUAGGGCCAGAAGGCUCUGCAGUAAAAAGGAUAAAGGGAAGCCUUUGAUAGGCAACAAUAAUCUAUGAAGGGGAAGCUAAAUCAAGGCCUUGUGGAAUGUAUGAGCUGACAAGGUAUUCUGUUAUGUCAGAUUGUACAUGAAAGAAUAAAAUAUAAGCAGGGCUAGGUUUUGUUUGCAAAGAUCGAGCAAGACAAAAGAAUCUUAGCUAGCUACCAAGGUGGCGAUCAUCUGCUUGGCUGUGAAAGAAGCUCUGGAGGCAACAAAAAACAAAGGAUUUACAAGGUUAUUACUCUUCUAGCUAAUGUUGAAGCAGUGGCCUUAUGGUAGAAUACAAGGCUUCCUAGAUAGCAAAAUGCAAGCAGUCGUGAAGGAUGUAUGAAACAUAGGCUGUCAAAUGGAAGGAAUAUGGCUAAGAACAUAGAAUGUUCAAAAACUACAAGAUACUUUGGGGCAUGUUUUGGGAGUGGCUAUCCGUGAUGGCGGGUGUCAUUGUAUUGGGGCUAUGUGUGCAAGAAUAGAAGCAGGCAAUGAUUGGGUUGAAGAACAUGCUCUAGGAUUAUGCAGUGCAGUGGAGCUGGGGCAUUUUCAUUUCUUAGUUGGGAUUUUUGUGUACUACUACCACUAUCAUUUUUUGUUUUUUGUUUACUGUUUUUGUGCUGUUGACUGUGAAUAUUAUUAUUAUUAUUAUUGAA